rnacentral:rRNA from 1 species
AACGAACGCUGGCGGCAUGCCUAACACAUGCAAGUCGAACGAGACCGUCGGGUCUAGUGGCGCACGGGGGCGUAACGCGGGGGAACCUGCCCGUAGGUUCGGAAUAACUCACCGAAAGGGGUGCUAAUACCGGUUAAUGUCUUCGGACCAAAGAUUUAUGGCCGUUGGAUGGGCGCGCGUUGGAUUAGCUGGUUGGUAGGGGAAAAGCGUACCAAGGCGACGAUGCAUAGCUGGUCUGAGAGGAUGGUCAGCCAGACUGGGACUGAGACACGGACCAGUAUCCUACGGGAGGCAGCAGUGGAGAAUAUUGGACAAUGAGCGCAAGUCUGAUACAGCAAUGCCGCGUGAGUGAUGAAGGCCUUAGUGUUCUAAAUCUGUUUUUCCCGAGACGAUAAUGACAGUACCGGGAGAAUAAGCUCCGGCUAACUACGUG